AUUGAACGCUGGCGGCAUGCCUAACACAUGCAAGUCGAACGGAACGAUGGGAGCUUGCUCCCAGGCGUCGAGUGGCGGACGGGUGAGUAAUACUUAGGAAUCUGCCCAUUAGUGGGGACAACAUUCGGAAACGGAUGCUAAUACCGCAUACGCCCUACGGGGGAAANCGGGGGAUCUUCGGACCUCGCGCUAAUGGAUGAGCCUAAGUCGGAUUAGCUUGUUGGUGAGGUAAGGGCUCACCAAGGCGACGAUCCGUAGCUGGUCUGAGAGGACGAUCAGCCACACUGGGACUGAGACACGGCCCAGACUCCUACGGGAGGCAGCAGUGGGGAAUAUUGCACAAUGGGCGCAAGCCUGAUGCAGCAAUGCCGCGUGUGUGAAGAAGGCCUGCGGGUUGUAAAGCACUUUCAGUAGAGAAGAAAAGCCUACGGUUAAUACCCGUGAGUCUUGACGUAACCUACAGAAGAAGCACCGGCUAACUCCGUG
rnacentral:rRNA from 1 species